rnacentral:rRNA from 1 species
UACAGAGGUCUCAAGCGUUGUUCGGAUUCAUUGGGCGUAAAGGGUGCGUAGGCGGCGCGGUAAGUCGGGUGUGAAAUCUCGGGGCUUAACUCCGAAACUGCAUUCGAUACUGCCGUGCUUGAGGACUGGAGAGGAGACUGGAAUUUACGGUGUAGCGGUGAAAUGCGUAGAUAUCGUAAGGAAGACCAGUGGCGAAGGCGGGUCUCUGGACAGUUCCUGACGCUGAGGCAACGAAGGCCCAGGGGGAGCAAACGGGG